AUGAACGCUGGCGGCGUGCCUAAUACAUGCAAGUCGAGCGAACAGAUGAGGAGCUUGCUCCUCUGACGUUAGCGGCGGACGGGUGAGUAACACGUGGAUAACCUACCUAUAAGACUGGGAUAACUUCGGGAAACCGGAGCUAAUACCGGAUAAUAUAUUGAACCGCAUGGUUCAAUAGUGAAAGACGGUUUUGCUGUCACGUAUAGAUGGAUCCGCGCCGCAUUAGCUAGUUGGUAAGGUAACGGCUUACCAAGGCAACGAUGCGUAGCCGACCUGAGAGGGUGAUCGGCCACACUGGAACUGAGACACGGUCCAGACUCCUACGGGAGGCAGCAGUAGGGAAUCUUCCGCAAUGGGCGAAAGCCUGACGGAGCAACGCCGCGUGAGUGAUGAAGGUCUUCGGAUCGUAAAACUCUGUUAUUAGGGAAGAACAAAUGUGUAAGUAACUAUGCACGUCUUGACGGUACCUAAUCAGAAAGCCACGGCUAACUACGUG
rnacentral:rRNA from 1 species